CAGAAUCCCAAGCCGACUGCGCUGUGUGGAGCGCCAUGCUGGGCUGGACACCUGAGCCAAAGCCCAAUGGAGAUACCCAGUUUUUGGUGACAAGGAAUGGGUCCAAAGCUGACUACAAACACCCUUUGGCCAAAGACAUGCACAGGCAAGAUGCCCACUGAUCCCUUUGAAUUUACUGUUCCUCCUGUUCUUAUCUAAGAGCCUUGGGUGGCCUUAUUUUGCUGCAAGAUGAUCCCUCAUAUCCAGAAGCAAAAAUUUCAUCUAAGACCUUUUAAGAUUUUUGCUUUUAAUUUUUUUUCUGAACUAAUCAGUGGCAUAGAGGUAGAAAAUUUAAAUUGUUAAAUG